rnacentral:lncRNA from 1 species
GGAUCCUCCAGUUCUAGGUAAUUUAUUUUUAAAAUGUAUGUAUUUAUAUCGUAUUUAUAUAAAAGUGUACAGCCAAGUCUGGAAAUGACAGAGAAGCACUUCUACCCGGGUGUUGAGUGCCCAGUGUGAAAUGAGUUGGCUGCUUUCCUCUGCGCUUGAUGGAGACCUGUUCCCAUCACAGAUCUGUCAUCACAAGUGUCAUGAACUGACAGCCCUUCUGCAGAGAGGCUCGCGGGUCGAGGAGGAGAUGUGCUUCAGCCUCUUGCUUCUCUCAGACGGUCCCCUGGUUUGAAUGACUCACAUGGAGGAUGUGAAGCCAGGAUCCCUCAUGGAAACAUACAAGUGGAGAUCAUCUCAAGCCCUGAAGCAGCUUUCUGGUCAGAUGUUGUUCAUGAAAUGCCUGAAAAUAGAUCAUUAUGCCAAGAGACCAUGGAGACGUUGCUCAGAAGGGAAAACCUGGGUCACACCAACAGCCUCUAGCAGAGCAUGAGCUGGAGCCAGGCAGCACAGCGAUGAGCCAGUGCCUUGCCUAUCCUGGCCCAUCCACACUGUCUGUGGAAGUCUGUAAGUGCAAAAUGUCUAGGGACUUGAACACGCCUUGUGACAAACUUGCAAGGGGCACUUCUGGUAGCCCUUUGUGGGUCAGAAUUAUUCCAGUUCAUUCUCUAAGGAUAAAUGUUUGGAGACAUUUUUCAGUACAGGAAAAUAUUGUCGUACAUAGAAUAGGUUAA